GCUUUCUAUUUAUUAGUUUCUCUGAGAGUUGUUAUUUUUCUAUUGCAGUUAUUAGGCCUUAAACCACAAAAUAGAUAGGGGUAGAUAGUACCUAGUUAUUGUUGGAAAUACUCUGUGGGAAUUAGAAGAGUUUUUUUAUAUGUACCCCCUGGAAAACCCUUCUGGCCAAAGGGUUUCCAUUGAUUCCAUUAAUUCCGUUUAGUUCCAUUGAUUCCAUUGAUUCCAUUGAUUCCAUUCCAUUGUAUUUAGUUUUGUUGUGUUUAAAAUCGUUUGUUUACGUCGAUGAUAUGUUACUGGUUAUUCUUCUAAUUGGAAUUGGAGACAUCGUUGGAUACCUCACUACAGAAUUAAGAUAAGGAUUUUGAUUAAUUUAUUUUUUUUAUGCGUUAUGUUCAUUAGCCUUUAUUAAUUUUAGUUUAUUUGUGAAUAGUACCUAGUGUGUUUUCGGUUUGUUAUACUGUUUUUUUUUUUUUUUGUGUUACAGCGGUUGCGCCUGAGCUCACGCGACGCUUAUAAUUUUCGGUUAAUUUUGAGGGCUAGUUUGCUUCGUCGCAACUAGUUACUUGGUAGGUUAUCAUUGUGGUUGUUCAAUAUUGUUAAAUUUGUUCAGUUUAUUCUAUUAUUAAUUAUUUCAUAUUUAUUUACAGACUUAAUUUAUUGUUUUUUUUUAUUUACUUAUUAUUAAUAGAUAAUUUUUACUUGAGGUAUCGCUUAAUUUCAUUUGUUCCAUACACCACAUGAUUGGUACUGCAACAAUUUGGUAGGUUUGGAGUUGCAGUCUACUUUAGGCGUGGGCCGUGGGGCAAACUUGCCUGGCGCCCAGUUAAUAUCUAUUUCAGGUUAAAAGAGAAGUCUCAACGAACC
rnacentral:lncRNA from 1 species